rnacentral:rRNA from 1 species
GAUGUACGCUGGCGGCGUGCCUAAUACAUGCAAGUCGAGCGAACAGAUAAGGAGCUUGCUCCUUUGACGUUAGCGGCGGACGGGUGAGUAACACGUGGGUAACCUACCUAUAAGACUGGAAUAACUCCGGGAAACCGGGGCUAAUGCCGGAUAACAUUUAGAACCGCAUGGUUCUAAAGUGAAAGAUGGUUUUGCUAUCACUUAUAGAUGGACCCGCGCCGUAUUAGCUAGUUGGUAAGGUAACGGCUUACCAAGGCAACGAUACGUAGCCGACCUGAGAGGGUGAUCGGCCACACUGGAACUGAGACACGGUCCAGACUCCUACGGGAGGCAGCAGUAGGGAAUCUUCCGCAAUGGGCGAAAGCCUGACGGAGCAACGCCGCGUGAGUGAUGAAGGUCUUCGGAUCGUAAAACUCUGUUAUUAGGGAAGAACAAAUGUGUAAGUAACUGUGCACGUCUUGACGGUACCUAAUCAGAAAGCCACGGCUAACUACGUG